AGGAGGAGGAGGAGAAGAAGGAGAAGAAGUAGAAGAAGUUGUGUAUGUGGUUUCUUCAUGCAAGUGUAUCUGUCUUCAACGGCCAUGUUUCCCUACACAACACCUUUUACAAGAGGAGAACUGAAGGACCACCUCGAAACACACCACCUCAGAAAUAAAACUUAAUAAAAACCAACAUGAAACAGUGCUGUGGAUCAAAGCCAGGGCUUCCUCCACAUGAGACAAGUUCUCUACCACUGAGCUACAUCCCCACCCCAACAGGUGGUUUGCAUCGCAUACCUAACACUGCAGCAACUGCAAACGAAGAAGCACAGGAUGAGCGAGCACCCUCUGGCGAGCAUUGCUGGAAGAGUUCUCAGCCACGGUGGGAGGACUCCUCCCAUCCAGCUCCUCCUGGAGGUCAUCGGGAGGCAACUUUCAAUGUGGGGUCUUCAUAAUCCGGGAGAGCAAACUAUCAGAACCCAAGGGUCCACAGGAUCUGCCUUUGUUUCAGUCACAGGUUCUAGCCCCUCCUUUUGCUCAUCUCAGUUUUCAGACAAGCACACUGCCUUUUCUUCCUUAUUGGCCCUCUGCACUAUCUUCUUCACAUGAAAAUCAUGUGUGAAGAAUCACGAAAACAAGACAUUACCCAAAUAGUAAGCCACACAGAGACAAGUUCCAGAAUGGAGACACAUUCCCAAAGCUGAGCUCAGCUGCAGCAGCAUCCCACUUCUGACAUGGGAUGUUGGGCUUUUAUUUCACAGGAAAUGUGUGCCUGGAAAAGAGGAAGCUUGGACAGUGAUGUAACCAACUACCUGCUUCCCCUUAGGCAGUCAAUAGGAAAAUAGGACAGUAACAGUUUCAUCACAAAUGUUUGAUUCUUUUAAACAAAGAUUUUUAAAAUUUAAGAAACAAUGACCAAUAUGGCAUCGAAAAUACAAAGUUAAAUCUCAGUUUCAACAAACAAGGUAGAACUUUAAAAUGUCAUGAACAUGACACAGAGGUUACAUAGGAUUUACCAAUGAAAAGGGAGCCAUGUUUUUGUUUCUAAAGUCCCAGCAUGAUUAAUUUUAGACACAUAAGUCUCUGUCAGUAUGUGGAGAUGGGUUAUCUAAACGUUGAUCGUGAAGGCUGUUAGGUAAGAGGAAAACAAAGUCAUUCUUAAAAUUAGGGAUCCAGGACUCUCUUUGGGAAGUUCUCUGUUCACUCUUUCCAUGAACAAUGAGAAUGUGGCAAGAUGGGAUAAAGGCCACUCAGACACCUCCAAAUGUCACAUCCUACUAUUAAGCACCAAAGCAGAUGCCAGUAACUGCAGUGAGGCUCCUCCCUCCGGCCUCUGUGGCUCAGAUGGUCUGUAGAACAGAAGCAGGUGUCAGCGGGCUCUUAGGAGGACAGGGUUUCUGUUACUCAUUUGAGGCCAGUCUUCACGUGUCACCAAGAAACACCCUCUGGCAAUAGACAAUGACAAACCAUCACCUUAAGAACCAUCCUAAAACCUUUGUAAAGAUAUAUUAAAAUGCACCUAAACCAAUUAAUUACAAUAUGGAUAUUUUGCUUAUUUGCUUGUUUUGGCCAUGAU